UCAACGAGUCGGGUUGUUUGGGAAUGCAGCCCAAAUCGGGCGGUAGACUCCGUCCAAGGCUAAAUACAGGCGAGAGACCGAUAGCGAACAAGUACCGCGAGGGAAAGAUGAAAAGGACGUUGAAAAGAGAGUCAAAGAGUGCUUGAAAUUGCCGGGUGGGAAGCGGAUGGGGGCCGGCGAUGCGCCCCGGCCGUAUGCGGAACGGCUCUUGCUGGUCCGCCGCUCGGGUCCCUCGGGGCACUGCGCUGCAACGGCCUGCGGGCUCCCCAUCCGACCCAU
rnacentral:rRNA from 1 species